rnacentral:rRNA from 1 species
CGGGUGAGUAACGCGUGAGGAACCUGCCUCAAAGAGGGGGACAACAGUUGGAAACGACUGCUAAUACCGCAUAAGCCCACAGCUCGGCAUCGAGCAGAGGGAAAAGGAGCAAUCCGCUUUGAGAUGGCCUCGCGUCCGAUUAGCUAGUUGGUGAGGUAACGGCCCACCAAGGCGACGAUCGGUAGCCGGACUGAGAGGUUGAACGGCCACAUUGGGACUGAGACGCGGCCCAG